UACGUAGGGUGCAAGCGUUGUCCGGAAUUAUUGGGCGUAAAGAGCUCGUAGGCGGCCUGUUGCGUCCGCUGUGAAAGCCCGGGGCUUAACCCCGGGUCGGCAGUGGAUACGGGCAGGCUAGAGGUAGGUAGGGGAGAAUGGAAUUCCCGGUGUAGCGGUGAAAUGCGUAGAGAUCGGGAGGAACAUCUGUGGCGAAGGCGGCCAUCUGGACCAGCACUGACACUGAGGCACGAAAGCGUGGGGAGCAAACAGG
rnacentral:rRNA from 1 species